GAUGAACGCUGGCGGCGUGCCUAAUACAUGCAAGUCGAGCGAAUGGAUUAAGAGCUUGCUCUUAUGAAGUUAGCGGCGGACGGGUGAGUAACACGUGGGUAACCUGCCCAUAAGACUGGGAUAGCUCCGGGAAACCGGGGCUAAUACCGGAUAAUAUUUUGAACUGCAUGGUUCAAAAUUGAAAGGCGGCUUCGGCUGUCACUUAUGGAUGGACCCGCGUCGCAUUAGCUAGUUGGUGAGGUAACGGCUCACCAAGGCAACGAUGCGUAGCCGACCUGAGAGGGUGAUCGGCCACACUGGGACUGAGACACGGCCCAGACUCCUACGGGAGGCAGCAGUAGGGAAUCUUCCGCAAUGGACGAAAGUCUGACGGAGCAACGCCGCGUGAGUGAUGAAGGCUUUCGGGUCGUAAAACUCUGUUGUUAGGGAAGAACAAGUGCUAGUUGAAUAAGCUGGCACCUUGACGGUACCUAACCAGAAAGCCACGGCUAACUACGUGCCAGCCGCCGUAAGAC
rnacentral:rRNA from 1 species